rnacentral:rRNA from 1 species
GUGGGGAAUUUUGGACAAUGGGCGCAAGCCUGAUCCAGCAAUGCCGCGUGCAGGAAGAAGGCCUUCGGGUUGUAAACUGCUUUUGUCAGGGAAGAAAUCUUCUGGGUUAAUACCCCGGGAGGAUGACGGUACCUGAAGAAUAAGCACCGGCUAACUACGUGCCAGCAGCCGCGGUAAUACGUAGGGUGCGAGCGUUAAUCGGAAUUACUGGGCGUAAAGCGUGCGCAGGCGGCUUUGCAAGACAGAGGUGAAAUCCCCGGGCUCAACCUGGGAACUGCCUUUGUGACUGCGAGGCUAGAGUACGGCAGAGGGGGAUGGAAUUCCGCGUGUAGCAGUGAAAUGCGUAGAUAUGCGGAGGAACACCAAUGGCGAAGGCCAUCCCCUGGUCCUGUACUGACGCUCAUGCACGAAAGCGUCGGGAGCAAACAGGAUUAGAUACCCGAGUAGUCC